AAUAAGAAGAAGUUUGUGUUUACUUCCCUCACAACAAACAUGAGCAUAGAAUACGAUAGGUGCACCGACGCCGAAAUUCAGGCGCUUAUUAACAUUUAUGCCACGUGGGAAAUCCAAAGAAAUCAGGAUUUUUACGGGACAAAGCGAAACACGAAAAUAUUUAGCAGGGCUUGGAAUUAAUCACUCGGCAAAACAGUGCCGCGUAAAAAAACAGGACUACAAACAAAUUAAAACCACAACAGUCAGAGUGGUUCAGUCCGCAAAAGAAGCAAGCAAGUGGUACGGUCUUUUAGAUGGGAUUCUUAGCCACAGACCAGCUUAUUUUAUGUUAGUGAUGCGGGGACGAAAGACUCUGUGUCGGGGCAUCUGGAGACAGCCAACCCGGGGGAGCUCCGAUAUACCGACCAAAGCUAGUCCUUCGUUACAGAUGUACCUGUAAAAUCCUCAAACUCUCCUCUGAGAGAGCUGGACCGGAGUGACAAUGAUCUGCAGGAUUCAGGAGUGAAGCUCAUCUCUGAUGGACUGAAGAGCUCAAGCUGUCAACUAGAGAUACUGAGAUUAUCUGGCUGUAUGGUGACAGAGGAAGGCUGUGGUUAUCUGGCUUCAGCUCUGAAUACAAACCCGUCCCAUCUGAGAGAGUUGGACCUGAGCUACAAUCACCCGGGACCCUC